rnacentral:rRNA from 1 species
UACGUAGGGUGCGAGCGUUGUCCGGAAUUAUUGGGCGUAAAGGGCUCGUAGGCGGUGUGUCACGUCGGCCGUGAAAACCUGCAGCUUAACUGUGGGCGUGCGGUCGAUACGGGCAUCACUGGAGUUCGGCAGGGGAGACUGGAAUUCCUGGUGUAGCGGUGAAAUGCGCAGAUAUCAGGAGGAACACCGGUGGCGAAGGCGGGUCUCUGGGCCGAUACUGACGCUGAGGAGCGAAAGCGUGGGGAGCGAACAGG